CGUGAAUACAUAGCGUAGCGAGGCGAACCGGGAGAACUGAAACAUCUAAGUACCCCGAGGAAAAGAAAUCAACCGAGAUUCCCUCAGUAGCGGCGAGCGAACGGGGAUUAGCCCUUAAGCAUCUUGGAAGUUAGUGGAACGGUCCUGGAAAGGCCGGCGAUACAGGGUGAUAGCCCCGUACACGAAAACAACCUUGAUGUGAAAUCGAGUAGGGCGGGACACGUGACAUCCUGUCUGAAUAUGGGGGGACCAUCCUCCAAGGCUAAAUACUCCUGACUGACCGAUAGUGAACCAGUACCGUGAGGGAAAGGCGAAAAGAACCCCUGUGAGGGGAGUGAAAUAGAACCUGAAACCGUGUACGUACAAGCAGUGGGAGCCCUUCGGGGUGACUGCGUACCUUUUGUAUAAUGGGUCAGCGACUUACAUUUUGUAGCGAGGUUAACCGUAUAGGGGAGCCGUAGGGAAACCGAGUCUUAACUGGGCGUCUAGUUGCAAGGUGUAGACCCGAAACCGGGUGAUCUAGCCAUGGGCAGGUUGAAGGUUGAGUAACAUCAACUGGAGGACCGAACCCACUAACGUUGCAAAGUUAGGGGAUGACCUGUGGCUGGGGGUGAAAGGCCAAUCAAACUCGGAGAUAGCUGGUUCUCCCCGAAAGCUAUUUAGGUAGCGCCUCGGACGAAUACUACUGGGGGUAGAGCACUGUUUGGGCUAGGGGGUCAUCCCGACUUACCAACCCCAUGCAAACUCCGAAUACCAGUAAGUAAUAUCCGGGAGACACACGGCGGGUGCUAACGUCCGUCGUGAAGAGGGAAACAACCCAGACCGCCGGCUAAGGUCCCAAAGUUCUGGUUAAGUGGGAAACGAUGUGGGAAGGCUCAGACAGCUAGGAUGUUGGCUUAGAAGCAGCCAUCAUUUAAAGAAAGCGUAAUAGCUCACUAGUCGAGUCGGCCUGCGCGGAAGAUGUAACGGGGCUCAAACCAGGCACCGAAGCCGCGGAUUCACGCUAAGCGUGAGUGGUAGGGGAGCGUUCUGUAAGUCUGCGAAGGUGUGUCGAGAGGCAUGCUGGAGAUAUCAGAAGUGCGAAUGCUGACGUAAGUAACGAUAAAGGGGGUGAAAAGCCUCCUCGCCGGAAGACCAAGGGUUCCUGUCCAACGUUAAUCGGGGCAGGGUGAGUCGACCCCUAAGGCGAGGCCGAAAGGCGUAGUCGAUGGGAAGCAGGUUAAUAUUCCUGCACGACUUGUAAUUGCGAUGGGGGGACGGAGAAGGCUAGGUGGGCCAGGCGACGGUUGUCCUGGUGAAAGUGCGUAGGUGGUGUUUCUAGGCAAAUCCGGAGACACAACACUGAGACACGAGACGAAC
rnacentral:rRNA from 1 species